UACGGAGGGGGCUAGCGUUGUUCGGAAUAACUGGGCGUAAAGCGCUCGUAGGCGGAUUUGCAAGUCAGGGGUGAAAUCCCGGGGCUUAACCUCAGAACUGCCUUUGAAACUGCAAAUCUGGAAUCUCAGAGGGGAUAGCGGAAUUCCUAAUGUAGGGGUGAAAUCCGUAGAUAUUAGGAGGAACACCGGUGGCGAAGGCGGCUAUCUGGAUGAGUAUUGACGCUGAGGAGCGAAAGCGUGGGGAUCAAACAGG
rnacentral:rRNA from 1 species